AUUGAACGCUGGCGGCAUGGGUAAAACAAGAAAGUCGAACGAGAAAGCACUUCGGUGCGAGUACCCUGGCGAAAGGGCGAGUAACGCGUGCCUUACGUACCCCUGAGUGCGGGAUAGCUGUUGGAAACGACAGGUAAUACCGCAUAAUCUCCUUCGGGAGCAAAGAUUUAUCGCUCAGGGAUCGGGGUGCGUCCUAUCAGCUAGUUGGGGAGGUAAAGGCUCACCAAGGCAGAGACGGGUAGCGGGUGUGAGAGCACGGCCCGCCGCAUCGGGACUGAGACACUGCCCGGACUCCUACGGGAGGCUGCAGUAACGAAUAUUCCGCAAUGCGCGAAAGCGUGACGGACCAAUGCCGCGUGUAGGAUGAACCCUCUAGGGGUGUAAACUACUGUCAGGGACUAGGAAUUUUGACCAACCCCAAAGGAAGAGCCGGCUAACUCUGUGCCAACAGCCGCGGUAAUACAGAGGGCUCAAGCGUUAAUCGGAAUCACUGGCCUUAAACGGUCCGCAGGCGGAUCGGUAAAGUAUCUUGUGAAAUCCUCAGGGCUCACCCCUGAAAUUGCUCGAUAAACUGCCCGAUCCUUGACCAUACCUAGAGGUUACCAGAACCCCUAGGUGGGAGCGGGUGAAAUGCGUAGAUAUCUAUGGGAAUUGCCGACGGAAAAAGUCAGGUUAACUGGGGGUAUUGCUGACGCUCAGGGACAACAGCGUAAGGUAGCGAACGGGAUUAGAUACCCCCGGUAGUCUAACGCCCGUAAACGAGUGCGCACUAAAUCGUGGGAGGUUUUUGACACCAUCGC
rnacentral:rRNA from 1 species